rnacentral:rRNA from 1 species
AGAGUUUGAUCAUGGCUCAGGAUGAACGCUAGCAGAACGCCUAACACAUGCAAGUCGAACGGAUUAAUAUUGCGAUUACAUCAAUAUGUUAGUUAGUGGCAAACGGGCGCGUAACACGUACUCAAUCUACCCUUAUGACGGGCACAACAUACGAGAGUAUGCUAAUUCCCGAUAUGGUAUAUAUCAUGCAAAAGUAUAUAUCAAAGAAGCAAUUCGCGUAAGGAGGAGGGUGCGGCCUAUCAGGUAGUUGGUUGAGGUAAUGGCUCACCAAGCCUAUGACGGGUAGCCGGUCUGAGAGGAUGUCCGGCCGCAAUGGAACUGAGACACGGUCCAUACCCCUAUGGGGGGCAGCAGUGGGGAAUCUUGGGCAAUGGACGAAAGUCUGACCCAGCGAUUCUGCGUGAAGGAUGAAGCCUUGCGGGGUGUAAACUUCUUUUCUGGAGGAAGACGAAUGACGGUACUCCAGGAAUAAGGGACGGCUAACUAUGUGCCAGCAGCCGCGGUAAUACAUAGGUCCCAAGCGUUAUCCGGAAUUACUGGGCGUAAAGAGUCCGUAUAUGGAUAUGUAAGUCUACUUUCAAAAAACGAGACUCAAUCUCGUCGAGGGAGUGGAUACUGCACUUCUAGAGUAUAUUAGGGGUUAGUAGAAUUUCCAGUGGAGGGGUGAAAUCUGUUGAUAUUGGAAAGAAUACCAAAAGCGAAAGCAGCUAACUAUAAUAUUUCUGACAUUGAUGGACGAAAGUUUGGGUAGCAAACGGGAUUAGAUACCCCGGUAGUCCAAACCGUAAAUUAUGCUUGCUAGAUGUUGAUCAUGUAUAUGAUCAGUGUCGUAACUCAACAGGUUAAGCAAGUCGCCUGGGUAGUAUAUUCGCAAGAAUGAAACUCAAAGGGAUAGGCGGGGGAACACACAAGCAGUGGAUUGUCUCGAUUAAUUGGAUAGCAAACCAAAAACCUCACCUAGGUUUGACAUGUGUUGUGUCGUAUAGGAAACUAUGCUAUACUGAGCAAUCAGUAGCUUCACACAGGUGGUGCAUGGUCGUCGUCAGCUUGUGCCGCAAGGUGCCAAGUUAAGUCUUGGAACAAGCGCAACCCUCAUUUUGUGUUAUAUAUGUCACAAAAUACUGCCUUGGCAACAAGGAGGAAGGAGUGGAUUACGUCAGAUCCUCAUGCCCCUUACGUCUAGGGCUUCAGAGACAAUACAAUGGCUACUACAGUCAGAAGCAAUACCGCGAGGUGGAGCAAAUCUAUAAAAGUAGCCUUAGUUCAGAUUGUAGUCUGAAACUCGACUACAUGAAGUUGGAAUUGCUAGUAAUGGCGAAUCAGAAAGUCGCCGUGAAUAUGUCCCUGUUCCUUGCACUCACCGCCCGUCAAAGCAUGGGAGUUGAUGCUCUCUGAAGCUUUGAUUUAUCGAAGUAAGGAGAGACUCAAUGACUGGGCUUAAGUCGUAACAAGGUA